rnacentral:rRNA from 1 species
AGACUUUGAUCCUGGCUCAGGAUGAACGCUAGCGGCAGGCUUAAUACAUGCAAGUCGAACGGCAGCGGGUCCAGCAAUGGAUGCCGGCGAGUGGCGCACGGGUGCGUAACACGUAUGCAACCUACCUUUAACCGGGACAUAACCUCGAGAAAUCGUGGCUAAUAUCCCAUAAUAUUUCUGAAUCGCAUGGUUUGGAAAUUAAAGUUCUGAUGGUUAUAGAUGGGCAUGCGCGACAUUAGCUUGUUGGUGAGGUAACGGCUCACCAAGGCAACGAUGUCUAGGGGUUCUGAGAGGAUGAUCCCCCACACUGGUACUGAGACACGGACCAGACUCCUACGGGAGGCAGCAGUAAGGAAUAUUGGGCAAUGGGCGAAAGCCUGACCCAGCCAUGCCGCGUACAGGAUGACGGCCUACGGGUUGUAAACUGCUUUUAUACGGGAAAAAACCCCCGGUCGUGAAUCGGGGCUGAUGGUACUGUAUGAAUAAGCAUCGGCUA